AAACAUUAGUGUAGAUGAUUGAUUUGUUAUUUUUAGAUAACUUUUUAAAAGUGAAGUCACUCUUAAUGAAUUUACCCAAUUAAAAAACAAACCGAUAUUUGGCCCCCGGUUUAUUAGAAUUUGAGGCUAGAGAAGUCAAAGUGGCGUCGUUUCAACAAAAUCAAAAACCCUAAAUCUAGAGCCAAACGCCAAAACUUUGGUAACACCUGCCGUCCUGGAACAGCGGAGAAACUCACACCCAGAAAGAAAGAGCUUCUUUGAUUCUCAGAGAUUGUGAUAAUGGAGGGUCAACCGAAAGUUAAAGCCUCACUUAGGCUUGGUUCUGAAUUCUACACAGUGAAUGCAAAAAAGGUCGGUGCUUUGUCUGAGCAGCUGUCUUCAAUGAAAGAAGAAAGUAUGAGCAUACUGAAGGAUUAUAUUACCAAACACAACGUUCCCAAUGAUGUCCCUGAUGAAUUGGUUGAAGGCUCUUCUGAAGACGACGAAGAAGAAGAACCCAAGAAGUCUAACAUCAAUCCCAAGAAAGCUAAGAUCAACUAGUACUUAGGUAAAAAACAUGUAUGGAAUUAUUCUAGUUUUCAACCUUGUCAACCUCCUGUGUCAUUGAAGAAACGUGAAUCAACUAUUUUUAGCAUUAUGUUGAACAAAAAAUGCAUUGUGAAAUAGAUUUGGAACUGAUAGACUUUGGAGCA